UGGACAGAUUAUUGUAUUCGACUGUAUUCACAACGUGAAACAUGGAGAUUACACUGUUUUUAAAUGGAAAGUGUAUCAAUUAACAUUAAUCUUUG
rfam:Nicotiana attenuata strain TT chromosome 7, whole genome shotgun sequence.